UUCCAGCUCCAAUAGCGUAUAUUAAAGUUGUUGCGGUUAAAAAGCUCGUAGUCGGAGGUGUGUCUCGGACGGUCGGUUCGCCGCUUGUCGGUGCUCAACUGGCCGGUCCGGACGUCCUGCCGGUGGGGCUGUAAAAGGCUCCGUUAUCCUUCUUUGGUCCUCUUCAUUGAGUGCCUUGGUGGGCCGGCACGUUUACUUUGAACAAAUUAGAGUGCUCAAAGCAGGCCGUUGGUCGCCUGAAUACUGUGUGCAUGGAAUAAUGGAAUAGGACCUCGGUUCCAUUUUGUUGGUUUUCAGAACUCGAGGUAAUGAUUAAUAGGGACGGACGGGGGCAUUCGUAUUGCGACGUUAGAGGUGAAAUUCUUGGAUCGUCGCAAGACGAACCGAUGCGAAAGCAUUUGCCAAGAACGUUUUCGUUGAUCAAGAACGAAAGUUAGAGGUUCGAAGGCGAUCAGAUACCGCCCUAGUUCUAACCAUAAACGAUGCCAGCUAGCCAUCCGCCGAAGUUCCUUAUAUGACUCGGCGGGCAGCUUCCGGGAAACCAAAGCUCUUGGGUUCCGGGGGAAGUAUGGUUGCAAAGCUCA
rnacentral:rRNA from 2 species